rnacentral:rRNA from 1 species
AUACCGCAUACGUCCUACGGGAGAAAGCAGGGGACCUUCGGGCCUUGCGCUAUCAGAUGAGCCUAGGUCGGAUUAGCUAGUUGGUGAGGUAAUGGCUCACCAAGGCUACGAUCCGUAACUGGUCUGAGAGGAUGAUCAGUCACACUGGAAGGGAGACACGGUCCAGACUCCUACGGGAGGCAGCAGUGGGGAAUAUUGGACAAUGGGCGAAAGCCUGAUCCAGAAGUGCCGCGUGUGUGAAGAAGGUCUUCGGAU